AUUGAACGCUGGCGGCAUGCCUUACACAUGCAAGUCGAACGCGAAAGGGGGCAACCCUGAGUAGAGUGGCGCACGGGUGAGCAAUACAUCGGAACAUACCCAGUAGUGGGGGACAACCAGUCGAAAGACUGGCUUAUACCGCAUACGACCUACGGGUGAAAGCGGGGGACCGUAAGGCCUCGCGCUAUUGGAUUGGCCGAUGUCUGAUUAGCUAGUUGGUGAGGUAACGGCUCACCAAGGCGACGAUCAGUAGCUGGUCUGAGAGGAUGAUCAGCCACACUGGGACUGAGACACGGCCCAGACUCCUACGGGAGGCAGCAGUGGGGAAUUUUGGACAAUGGGGGCAACCCUGAUCCAGCAAUGCCGCGUGAGUGAAGAAGGCCUUCGGGUUGUAAAGCUCUUUCGGCCGGGACGAAAUCGCUCUGGUGAAUAUCCAGGGUGGAUGACGGUACCGGAAUAAGAAGCACCGGCUAACUACGUGCCAGCAGCCGCAGUAA
rnacentral:rRNA from 1 species